ACUGUGGAAGCUUUUUUGUCAGAUACGGUUAUCUUUGGGGUUAAUUAUUAUAGCAGUUGAGUUUUAACACUUGAUUUGCUUUUAAAUCUGAAGCAUUAUAUUACUAAAACAUUUUUUGAUUUGUGAAUAUGUUGUUUAAUGGAUUAUAUCUCAUUUUGCAGUAGUAGUUGCAGUGCCUGAAAGAUUGCCAAAAAAAAUAGUGCUAGCUUUUGCUGAAAAAUGUAACAAUCAACUUACCAAUACUGCCUUCUCUUCCGAUAGCUAUGUUCUCCGUAAUAUUUUAAGAACUCAGUUUUUCAUAAGACUUGUGUUGUUUUUGAUUUUUUCCCAAGUCUGGUUGAUCCUUGUGUUGUUCUUUUUUAAAUGUGUAUUGUCUGUUCAGCUAUUCUGCAGGAGUUGCAUUCUUAAAAACCUUAACCAUAUCAAAAAUUGUGUUUAAAGGAGGAUUAUUGAGAUUGGCAAGCUUUUACUAGGAGGAGUUUAAAUGCUGACGUAUUUAGGAAACUCUAAAUACUGAGCAACUUUAUUCUAACUACAAAAUAGAUAGCCUUUCUUUUGUUUUUCACUUUCACUAUCAUUAGCACUGUGUUAAUAUCUUUUCUUCAUCUAUAACACAAUUAUAACGAUAUAUAAAGCCACUCAAAUAAAGCAGAUAUAUUGUGCUUAAAAAAAAAAAGAAAAAAAAAGAAGUCAUUAUGUGGCACACAAUGAGGUGUGACUUGAAUCUAGAAUCUCCAGUGAAAACCAAUGAAACAGGGUCAAACCCUGUGUCUACUAAAAAUAAAAAAAUGAGCCAGGCGUGGUGGCGCUGAGACAGGAGAAUCACUGGAACUCAGGAGGCAGAGGUUGCAGUGAGCUGAGAUCAUGCCACUGCACUCCAGCUGGGGUGGGGGACAGAGCAAGACUCAAUCUCAGAAACAAACACACGAAGCCAAUAAAGUUGUUUCACUCAACGUGUCAGGCUCAGGUCUCUUGACAGGAUACAUCCGGCAUCCGGGGAAACGUCGAGGGGUGGGGUGGAAUCUAUUUUGUGGCCUCAAGGGAGGUUUUGAGAGAUAGUCUUGCAAACGUGAUGGCCUAAGGAAGCCCCUCUGCCCAAGAAGCCAUAUUCAUUUGUAUCCUGUAGCCACCCACGAGGGAGAAUCCGGCUCUCUACAGACACCCCAACCCCCACCCCACCCCACCCCCUGCCUCGUGAAAUGAGCUCUCGCUCCAUCAGGCUCUAUUCACACCGUCUGGUUUUGUAACCUCCAGCGUGUGUGCAUGGGUUGCGGGGUGGGGUGGGGGCGGCUGUGGACAGAGAAGGGGAUAAAGCGGCGGUGUCCCAUGGGUGCCCGGGACGUGGGACAUGAGUAGAGUGGCCAGAGCCUAGUUAACUCAUCGCCUGUCAGGACGUCUCCCCUCCUGGUCCCCUCUCUGACCUACGCUCCACAUCUUAGCAGUUCAGUGGGGACCUUGUGGGUGGAAGUUGCCAACCCUUUGUACUUUAGCCGACGAAGACUGGGCUCCCAAGAGUCUCCCCGGAGUCGGGGCCUUGGGCAGGUUCACAAGGAUCCUGAUGGCGACGGUUGGUGAUGGUGAUGUAAGUUGGAAGCCUCGGACCAAAUCAGAGGUAUCCAUUUGACCUCGGUGGGACAGGUCAGCUUUGCGGAGUUCCGUGCGUCCUUCCAGAGAUUCAUCCAGCGCUAGCAAGCAUGGUCCCGAGGAUCCCAGCUCCCAGCAGAGGCAAUUUUGUUCACACAGAAUCCUGGGCAGGAAAGUUCUCAGCAGAUUUAGGCCUCCUAGCCAAAAAGUCAAAGCCACUUCUGGGAUUUUUUUUCAAAGAGCCAAUGGUUCCACAAUGGGCCAUGGGUAGUUGUGGAAAUGGAGAGACGUGUUUGCAGAUACAUAUUUGAGACAGAACGGACAGGGCUCGGUCACAGUUCAUGUAGGACACGAGCAGAUGCACAUUGAGAAAACCUUCCCAGCAUCCUAGGUGAACAGAGGUAUGAUUUUUUGAGACAGUCGAGGGAGACGCAACCCCAGAUUUUAGGGUUGGAUCUUUAUUAAUAUGUAGUAUCUAUGAGGAAUCCAAGUCCAGAAAUCAACUCGCCAGUUCUGUACAGCAUUCUGUAGGGAGAUCAAAUCUGGGAUGUCUAAAGUUAAGAAUUCAGGCCGUGGUAAUGGAUUAGAUUAGACGUACUUGAACUUAUUUUGCAAAGAAAGAGAGGGUGGGAGAUAGCGAGAGCCAGAGAGAAGGCGAGAGAGAGAGAGAGAGAGAGAGAGAGAGAGACAAAGACAGAGACAGAGAGAGACAGACAGAGAGACACAAAGAUACACAAAGAGAGAAAGACAGAAAGAGAGAGAGAGACAGACAGAUAAAGACACAGACAGAGAAAGACAGAGAUGGACAGAGACAGAGAGAAACAGAAAGAGAGACAGACAGAGACAGACAGGCAGACAGUCAGAGAAAGAGAGUAAGACAGAAGGCAGACACACACACACACACAGAGAGACAGAUGGACAGACAGAGAGAAAGAGAGAGACAGAGAGAGAGACAGACAGAGAGAAAGAGACAGAGAGAGAAAGAGACAGAGAUAGACAGACAGAAACAGAGACAGAGAGAGAGAGAGAAACAGACAAGGAGAGAGAGAGACAGACAGGCAGAGAAAGACAGUAAGACAGAAGACAGACACAGAGAGAGACAGGCAGAGAGAGACAGACAGAGAGACAGAGACAGAGAAACAGACAGGCAAAGAGAAAGAGAGAAAAAAAACAGACACACAGGGAGAGAGAGACCUACAGACAGACAGGCAGAGAGAGAGACAGAGACAGCGAGACAGAGAAACAGAAAUACAGACAGGCAGACAAAGAGACACACAGAGAAAGACAGAGAUGGACAGAGAGAGACAGAGAGAAACAAAGAGAGAGAGACAGAGAGAGAGAGAGAGAGAGAGACCGGCAGAGAAAGAGAGUAAGACAGAAGACAGACACAGUGAGAGAGACAGGCAGAGAGAGAGACACACAGAGACAGGGAGACAGAGAGAAAGAAAGAGAGAGAGACAGAGAGACAGACAGAGAAAGACAGAGACGGACAGAGAUAAACAGAAAGAGAGAGAGACAGAGACAGAGAGAAAGAGACAGAGAGAGAGAGACAGACAGGCGGAGAGAGAGACACACACACAGGCAGAGAAAGGGAGUAAGACAGAAGACAGACACAGUGAGAGAGACAGACAGAGAGAGAGAGAAAUAGGCAGAGAGAGACAGAGAGAGAGAGAAGACGGAGAAAGAGAGACAGAGAGAGGAGGAGGAAGGGCGUGCUCAGGAAAUAAUUACACAUAUUUUAUAACGCUUUUGAUCCCAUAAACGGUGGCCGAGGUGUGCUUUGAAAACAACAACAACAACAGCAACAAGAGCAGCAGCAGCAGCAAGAGCAGCAGCAGCAUUCACUUACGGAUUUCUAGAACAUAAGAUGUUCUGAAGAGUAGUAAACAUCAACCGGCUCUCACUAUACGUUCAGAGAUUCACAAAAUCGUUAGUAAACAACAGGAGAAAACCGCAGCUUACAUGUCUUGGGGAAAAUAUACGUCUUCCUGAAAACUGGGGAUUUCUACUUCAUCUAAAAAGAAAUACAUAAGAAAAAGGAAAAACACGAACGAAACAAAACAAGCCAACAAACACGGGCCAAGGCACUGUCCCUGGAAAUCUUAAGUGAGCAAAGUAUUAGUUUUCAGAAAGCGUUUCUAUUUUGGACAAAUACUAAGAAGGCCCAGACUAGAGCUGUGACGUCAUUCCUAUUGUGAAACUAUGCUGGCCGGAGGGCGGAGAAACUAAAACAUCAUGAUAAAAGGUGAUUGAAACCCAGCCGGGGUGAAGGUUUCCUAGGGAGGGAGGCCUGAGGAAGGAAGCGGGGUAAAAAACCCACAACUGCAGACCCGCCCGCUUGCCGACGCGGGUCAAGGGCUAUGCCAUCGGCCCAAGCUGCCUCUGGGGAAGUGGGACCGUGCCACCCCCAUCUUCAAAAACGGUGGCCACUGAGUAAGGCCUGACGCCCACCGUUGCAAAUGUCAGCCUGAGAUGCUCAUUUCAACAACCAGGCGGUUGAUGUGACGGAAGAAGUGUCAAGUCCAGGAGUUUGAGACCAGCCUGAGCAACUGAGCAACACAAGUAGGAGAGCCCAGCUGAAAAAAAUGAAAAAAAGAAGGAGGAGGAGGAGGAAAGAAAAGAAAAGAAAAGAAAAGAAGAGAAAAAAGUUAAAAUUAUCCAAUGGUGCAGGCACAAAAAAGAGUGAUUUCACGUCUUUUCCCACAACAUGGAUAGAGCUGGAAGCAAGUAUGUACCGAGUGAACUGCCUUCUGCUUACAAGUGGGAGGUAAAUAAUGGGUACGCGCACGGUCAUCAAGAUGGAAAUAACAGACACUCCAAAAGGGAGGAGGAGGGUAAGAGGGGGAGGAGGAGGGUAAGAGGGGGACGAGGAAUGAAUAAAUCGCCCGUCAGAGACAACGUUCGCCACGUGGGUAAGGCAUACACUGGAGGUCCACUUCUGCAUCCGGAAGCAGUAGUAUGCUGAUCUAACAAACAAGCACAUACACCCCCUGAGUCUGUAAAAUACCAAAACAACGACGACAGCACCAGCAGCAGCAGCAACAGCAGCAGCAGCACCAACAACAACAACAACAGAACAGAAGCUGGAACACAAAACCACCACCACCACCACCACAGUCGCCAGUCGGGGGUUGGGGGAGGGUGGCCGCGCUCGAGACCCUCAGGCACAGUCCCCUCGGGUUUAAAAAAGAAAACUGCAGACUCAUUCCUGUCUGUAGGCAGGAAAAAUCCAAUCAAAGUUCUCCAUUGCUAGAAAGGGAAGUAGAAUAAGGAGAAGGGCUUAUUGAUCUUCUUGUGAUCGAUUGAGACCACACAUGUAGGAAAAAAUUAAAUACAGACAGCAACACUUUCUACACUGUUCAAAAGCAUUGGAGAUCAGGCGCACCACACACCAUGGGCCUUGAGCCACUAGAGAGAAAAGGCAGGCCAGGUGCGGUGGCUCACGCCUGUCAUCCCAGCACUUUGGGAGGCCGAG
rnacentral:lncRNA from 1 species